AGCACGUUGGGAGCAAUGGCGUUGCUAAGAAACCAGCAAGCUGUCCGAGAAGGAGCUGUUCGGUGUGGAUUGGAAAUAUACCUGGAAAACCUCAGAAGUUGGCCAGUGGGUGGUGUAGCAUGUCAGCCAUGCACUGGGAGGCCCGUCGCCGUCAGCAAGUGCUGGAUCGCAGAUUAUCUGCUAGAAUAAAGCAGGGAGACAACCAAGAUAAAAAAGAAGAGAAGCCUAUUGCACAUGUGACACCCUGUGAACCUCCAGUGUAAACGUAUUUUUUUAUAGAGGCUGACAAGCAAUGCAUCUGUAAGUGUCACACCAAGAUGGGUAAAAGAUACACCUCUCUGCAGUAUUCGCAGCAAUGGUGAGGAGCUUCUGGAUCACACCAAUCCCUCAUCAAGGUGUAUCUUACAGGAAAGCAAACUUUAUUUUUCUGUCUCACAAUCCUAAUAAAAACAGAAGUGGUCUAACA